ensembl:lncRNA
GCCUACCUGAGGACCUUACAGGCCUUCUAAAGUUCCAGGUACCUGUCCCAGAAGAGAAUACUACAUACCCAAGGACUUUGCGUUCAGAGAGGAGACAUAACUCCUGGCAAGGUCACCUGAUGUCCCUUUCGCCUUUUUUGAUUGUCAGGCUCUCUUCCCUGCUGCUCGGCCUAACUGCACAUCUCGCCUCAACAUUAGUGUUAAGGCCUUUUAGCUGAAAGCUUUCUCAGCUGAGUUUAAGAGGACUUCUACUGAGAGCAAAUAAGAUUUUUCCGUGGCUUAAUAGGACUUUCUGGUGACCAAGUUCAUCUGGAGGGAGAUAAAACAACAAAUUCCAGUGAAGAAAUAAGAAUCAGUAAGAUGAAGCAAGAAGAUGUGGUGAAUUACAACCCAGUCAGUUUCUCCUUGACCAGAAGGUGAAGGAGCAAACAACCUUGCAAACUGGAAGUGAUUGGAAGUUUUCUGUGUGGAUUUUUAAAAAGAAAAAUCCUGCUUGACCAACAAGAUAGCCUUCUACAAUCAAAUGAAUGGUUUCAUGGACAAUGAGAGAGCAGUGGAUGUUAAAUUCUUUGAUCUUAAUAAGGCUUCUGAAAUUAUCUGCCAUAACAUCCACACUAACAAACUGAGGUAAUAGUGAGUGAAAUACAGAAGGACUGACUUAUGUGGUAUAGUCUAAAUGACAGGUUUUGGUUAUUGUCCUAAUUAAACUAUAGUUACCUAAGUUCAGGGCUGCCCCAUAGGUUUCCUCAAACAACUGUGUUAAAGUGAUUGGCUUGUUCUUUUGGCCUUAUAUGGGCUUGUUCCUUUGGUCAUAUGGUUACCUAGGUUCUAUUGUCAUUGCAGGAUUCUACUCUUCAAAAGGUUCCCAAGUGUUUCCCACUUAGCAUCUGUGCAUUUUCAUGGUUUCUCACUUCACUGUUACUUCCUGUGAAAUCCAGCCAUCUUUUGUGGUACUAUCUGUAAUUUCCAUCAGUGCUUCACUGUGGUAUUUUUCAAAUCUAGAAGCUUCUCAUGACAUAUCUCUUAGUUUUCCACAUCCUGAAGUGAAACACAGACAAAGUGAAACAAAAGCUUAAUUAUGUUUCCUCCAGCCCAAAAAACCUGAAUGCACACAAAAGAAAUAAAACAUUUCAGACUGUAUUUUCAUAAAAACUUUUGGGAAAUAAAACACUUAUGUAUAG